UACGUAGGGUGCGAGCGUUAAUCGGAAUUACUGGGCGUAAAGCGUGCGUAGGCGGUUCGUUAAGUUCGUUGUGAAAUCCCCGGGCUUAACCUGGGAAUGGCAUUUGGGACUGCAAGGCUGGAGUGCGGCAGAGGAGACUGGAAUUCCUGGUGUAGCGGUGGAAUGCGCAGAUAUCAGGAGGAACACCGGUGGCGAAGGCGGGUCUCUGGGCAGUAACUGACGCUGAGGAGCGAAAGCGUGGGGAGCGAACAGG
rnacentral:rRNA from 1 species